ACCACGUUGAUAGGCUGGAUGUGGAAGCGCAGUAAUGCGUGUAGCUGACCAGUACUAAUAGCUCAAUUGGCUUGAUUUAUG
rnacentral:rRNA from 3 species